rnacentral:rRNA from 1 species
UACGGGGGGAGCAAGCGUUGUCCGGAAUCAUUGGGCGUAAAGAGCGUGUAGGCGGCCCGGUAAGUCCGCUGUGAAAGUCGGGGGCUCAACCCUCGAAUGCCGGUGGAUACUGUCGGGCUAGAGUGCGGAAGAGGCGAGUGGAAUUCCUGGUGUAGCGGUGAAAUGCGCAGAUAUCAGGAGGAACACCGGUGGCGAAGGCGGCUUCCUGGCCCGUAACUGACGCUGAGGCGCGAAAGCGUGGGGAGCAAACAGG